rnacentral:lncRNA from 10 species
AUCAAUUCUUAGGCCACAUUCUCAGAGAUUCUGUUCCAGGAGAUCUGUUGUAUUUCCCCAGAAUCUGCCCUUAUGAUAAAGCACUCCUAAGUAAUUUAAACUGCAGGCAAUUCAAGAAGCACACUUUAGCUAAACACAUAUAGAUACUGGCAUCUUCCUGAAAUUGGGACGGUUUAUAACUGUGUCUGUGAAUACCAUGUCCAGGAAAAAGUUAGAACUUCUCUUCAGCUCUCCAUUUUUCAGUCCCCACAGAUCUCCACCAUUCUCCCACUGACUUGAUACUGGACAAAGUGCAACAAAAGAGGAUUCCAAUGGCAGUGGUUUGAAGUUGAUAAUUAAUUACAUAAAGUCACAUUUGGAAUGAAUAGCACCAAUGAUCCUCGUCCAAAGGAACAGCUAUUAUUCCCUCAAUUUCCUAUCAGGACAACCUGCAAAAUAUUUUUGAUAAAGUGAGAAGAGAUUUAGUAAGAAUUUUAUUUAUUUUCUAAACUUAAGAAUAGAAAGUAUGGGUAUAACAUCUGAGAAGGCACCUCACAAUGUUUUGAUCUGAUUCCUAAUUUUUACCUUUAUAAAAAUAGACUAACUUUGUGACUUGUUAACUCAAUAAUUGUGUAAAUCAAAAUUUAUGAUCAUUAAAAUUUAUGGUCUAUAAGUCAACUAUAAAUGUUUAAGUGUCACUUAAAAUAGUAGGUCCCUAUUAUAACACUUGGGUAAGAAAUGUAUAAUGUCUGAAUAUCCAUUAGUUAUAACUUUUAAAUUUCUGUUUCAAUUAUUUAACUCAAGCUUAAGGAUUUGGCUGAAUAAUAUAGGUUUCACUUACUGAAAAAAAAAUUCAAGUUUAAAUAACGUAUUUUUUACUCCAACGUAGAAAAGAUGUCCCUCAAGAAAUCUUGCUUAAAGUAAAAAGAAAUGCUAAUGAAGCAACCCAAUGUUUGUGUGCCAAGUGUUCUUCUAUUUCUCUAUACCAAUGUAUCUAUAUUCAUACAAAACAACUUUGAUAUUGGCUAUUUUGUACUUAUAACUAGGCUGGUAUGACUGUAAGCCCUAUGUUAGAUGUAUCUCUUAUUAAAAGUUGAUGGUUUUUAGAACAGGAUUGAUUCCAGCUCAGGGUGGUCUUAGGAAUGUGGAUUUUGCUUCCUGAUAUUUAAUGAGGCAGGUCAUUAGUUGGUGGAAGCUUCAUUCCAGAUGGUAGGUGAUAAUAGUGUAUUUAGGGAGAUGUGCUGAAUUAAGGGAAAAGCUUAUUUACUUCCUGGCCAAGACUUUCCUUUUACCAAAGAAGAUAUUUUUAGACUCUGAAUUCCCAUUUGGUAUCAGUUACGAGAGCAAGCCCUAAAGAAGCCAAUGCCCUUAACAACAUAUUUAUAAUUUCUUGCUAGCCUUUUAUUGUUGUUUUUAACACUGCAUUUUCCUGGUUAUUAUGAAGCUCCAUAAUUUUAUCACUGAAUCAAAACAUUGGUAAGAGUUGCAUGAUAUUUAAAAAGAACUAUUUUAUAUGCUGUAACAUCAGUUUCUGGUACUCGUUACCAAUGAUGAGGACAGAAGUUCUUAAAAUUGGAUGUCUUGAUUUUAGGGAGAAGUAUGAUCUGAAACUUUAUUUAUAUGAAUAUAAGGCUCUACUAUGGCCUAUAUAUCAGUAUUUACAUGUGUGGUGGUAGAUUUACUUUCCAUUCUUGUGUUGAUCAUUUUACACUUGAAGCAAAACUCUCUCCAGGAUUAGCUUAUUUAGGAUGGAAUAGGUCAAGCUGAGUAUGGAAGCCAGAACAAUAAAAUUCCUUAUCAUCUGUGGCACAGAAGCCACAAAUCCUUCUGAAAAAUAGGUGCUUAGAGAUACUACGUGAGCAUCUUCCAUAGCCUUAAAAUGAGUGCUUUUUAAUGCAUGGCAAACAGUAAAAUUCAAACAAGAACCUUAUGUUAUACUGCAGUAUGUGAAUUUUAAAUUAAACUAUUUAUUUACCCUCACUUUCAAUAAUUUCUGGGUGAAAGAAGAUCUAAAUAAAUGAAAUACCAAAUACUUUAUUUCUUCAAUUUUGUAGGAAAUAAUGAGAAGAAAUUAUAUAGAGAGAUGUUAAUCUUUAUGCCAAGACAAAUACCUAAAUUAUGAAUAUAAGCAUUAUUGUGUAGCUUUUGAAAAAUUGUCUUAAAAAUGUUUCUGAUAUUUUUAAAUGUCACCCGCUUAUUUUAUUGGAUUUCAACUCACAGAUCAAUGGUAACUUUUACAGCAAUAUAUGCCUAUAUAAAUGCAUUUCUUAAAAAUAUUAUGUACAUGUCAACGUACAAUUUGUCAAAUGCAGAAGUAUUCCAAUGGAUAUUUAAUAAUAUUUUAUUCUCAUACAUUAAGG